CACCAAUCACUGGCGGUUGGGGCUCGCGGACCCGGACGGCGCGGCGGCCUGGGCGCUGGGUCACCGAAGUGAUCAUUGUGGGUGCCAUUUCCUGUACUCCGUCCGGAGUGGUCACCUGUGGUCACCCUGCAGGGCAGCCUCAGGUGGGACCGUGGACGCUCUUUUGGCCUGUGACCGCACUAGUCCCGUAGCCAAACAGAUCAGAAGUGCAAGCUUUAGUUUACUUGAGUGUUUAUAACUUGCGGUGCAGACUCCCCCCAAGUUAGGCAUAGACACGGAGUAGGUGUGGUUAGGUAUUGGCUUCCUUCUCCCCCAUUGAUCGUGCCUUCAAUCCCCGCUCCUGCUCAUGCCCGGUGCCGGGAAGCAUUCCAACCAAGAGGAGCAUACCCACACCUCAACUCCACGCGGGAGAGGCCCCCACCGUGGCUAAGGCUGGAGACUCACACAAGUGCCAGAUAAAUGGGUAAAACAGAUACCCCGUGAAACCGUGCCCCAGGGUUAAAAAAGCAUCCGCAUAGGAUUAACAGAAACUGGUGACUAACAGAAAUACCUGAGCUUGUCUGACAGAACAGCAGCUAAAGGAACAGCUCGCUAAAAACUCUGCUUCUCACGUGCCUUCGCUGACCAAGCUCACCUUAAUUACUUCUGACUCCUUAGUCACGCCUGUAGAUAACACCUCUGACCUAUGCGUCACUGUAGUAAUGGAGGCUUUAGUGGUUUUUCAAGAACUUUAGUGGUUUUUCAAUGACCACUUCGGUGACCCAGCGCCCAGGCCGCCGCGCCGUUUUUCAGGAACUUGGGGUGGGCUCCUGUCCGGUUCAAGCCGGCUAAGACUGGUUGGGAUCACCAACCCUAAACCUGGGCCCGUGCCAGGUGUCGGACGAAUGACCUUUCGAGAUCAGAGGGUGGAAAACUCCACCCUCAGAUCCUGCUAAUCAGGAGGAACAGAUGUCACCUUCCCGAAUCAGGGAUCCAACCCGUGCCCCCUGCAGUGGAAGCACAGAGUCUUAACCACUGGACCACCAGGGAAGUCCUGAUAUGAUCGUUUUAGAUGCCCACUGUUUCAUGGAAAAGAUGUCGAUUCCAACGAUGCUACUAGAAAGUCUGUCUUCUUGUACACUGACGUGACGACUAGGAUUAUCCAGCAAGGUCCUGUGUAUGUGAAUCCUGCAUAUCUAAGCAUGCUCUAACUCAUUCUCGAUGGACCAACUGGGAUAAAAGUUGCAUCCAGCUUGGAAGAUCUGCUUUCACGUUUCUCCCACCUCACCAAGUGGCUGUUACUGGAGACUUUCCAAGCGUCUGAUGGACAAAGGUCGCUACCAACUAAGCGAGAAGCUGAGUGCUGCCACUAAGAACUUAGUUGUUAUAAUACUAGUGUCCUCAAGAUGAAAACACGUGUCGUAGUAGCCUGCAGGGGCUGCUGUAACAAAGGACCACAAACUGGGUGGCUUAAAACAACAGAAAUUUAUUGUCUCACAGUUUUUCCUGGAGGUUGGAGUCCUGAAUCGAGGCGUCAGCAGGGCCACGCGCCCCCUGAGAUCCUGGGUAGAGUCUUUCCUUGCCUCUUCCUAGCUGUGGUGGCCAGCAGUCCCUGCUGUCCCUGGGUUUCUGCUGCAUCAGUCCAGUCUCUGCCUCUGUUUCCACAAGGCGUACUCCUCGUGUGUCUUCACUGAGUCUUCCUUCUGUGCACGUCUGUGUAUCUAAAUUUCCCCCAUUAUAAGGACACCAGUCGUAUUGGAUUAGGGCCCACCCUGAUGACCUCAUUAUAACUUGAUUACCUCUGUAAAGACCCUCUUUCCAAAUAGGGUCAUAUUCUGAGGUCCUGGGGCUUAGGGCUUCCAUAUAGCUUCAGUAUAUAUGGGGGAAACACAAUUCAACCCAUAACAUAUGUCAAAACCACACCAAAUGGGAGAUUAUGAGUGACUUUAUUUUUUUAAUGGAAAAAAUUGUUAAGCUUUAUUGAGAUAUAAUUGACAAAACAUUGUGUAAGUUUAAGGUGAAUAAUGUAAUGAUUUGACGUAUGUACAGUUGACCUUUGAACAACAGGCUUUGAACUGCAUGGGUCCACUUACACCUGUAUCUUUUUCAAUAAAUAUAGUACCUGCAUUUUCCUUUUACAGAUCUUUACAUUAACUAAGUGUAGGGAAAAGUUUGUGUUCAAUUAGCAACCACAAUAUGCGGAAUCAAAAGAACUGGGGUUUGAGUCCUGAUUCGGAACAAACCGCGUCAGCUUCCUGCCCUUUGAGGCAGAGAUAGCAGUACAUGCAUUUCGACUGCACAAGGGGUUGGCACCCCUAACCCCUGAGUUGGUCAAGGGUCAAGUGUAUAUAUUGCAAAUUAUUACCACAGUAAGUUUAGUUAACACUCCCCUCGCCUCACAUAGGUAUAAUUUUUGUGUGUGUGGUGAGAACUUUUAAGAUCUACUCUAUUAAAUUUCCAUUAUGCAAUCCAAUAUUCCUAACUAUGGUCACCAUGUUGUACAUUACAUGCCCAGUGUUUAUUCAUCUUAUAACUGGAGGUUCGUAGCCUUUGACCACCUUCACCCAUUUUCCCCUGAUUCCCCACUCCAACCCCUGUCCGUGUCAACUGCCAAUCUGCUCUGUUUCUAUGAGUUUGGUUUUUUUAUUCCACAUAUAAAUAAGAUUAUACAGUA